ACGAACGCUGGCGGCGUGCCUAAUACAUGCAAGUCGAACGGUCUUUCUAUGGAAGCUUGCCUCCACUGAGAAGAUAGUGGCGAACGGGUGAGUAACACGUGGGUAACCUGCCCAUAAGAGGGGGAUAACAUCCGGAAACGGGUGCUAAUACCGCAUAGUUUUCUUGAUCGCAUGAUUGAGAAAGGAAAGACGGCCUUUGUGCUGUCGCUUAUGGAUGGACCCGCGGCGUAUUAGUUAGUUGGUGAGGUAACGGCUCACCAAGACGAUGAUACGUAGCCGACCUGAGAGGGUGAUCGGCCACAUUGGGACUGAGACACGGCCCAAACUCCUACGGGAGGCAGCAGUAGGGAAUCUUCCGCAAUGGACGAAAGUCUGACGGAGCAACGCCGCGUGAGUGAAGAAAGGUUUUCGGAUCGUAAAACUCUGUUGUCAGAGAAGAACAAGUUGGAGAGUAACUGCUCCAGCCUUGACGGUAUCUGACCAGAAAGCCACGGCUAACUACGUGCCAGCCGCGGC
rnacentral:rRNA from 1 species